CCGAAGCAGGCUCCAGGCUCUGAGCUGUCAGCACAGAGCCCAAUGCGGGGCUCAAAUUCACAGACCACGAGAUCAUGACCUGAGUCAAAGUCAGAUAGAUGCUCAACAGACUGAGCCACUCAGGCACCCCAGAAUUUUUCUAACUUUCCACGUAAGGAAAAGAGAUUCACAUUAUUGGUACAUAUAGGCUUCCAAGUUGCAGUGAUAGAAAAAAACACCUCUUUCUGUGUUUUUAUUUCCCCAAAGUGUCUUUUGUGUUAUAGUGUGUUUAGUCCUUGGACCUGGAUCACUGAAUCAAAAUUUUUAGAAUUCCUUUCCAUAAAAAUAAUCUGGGUAGCUUCUUUAAAAAUGCCAAAUUUAGAUCUACUUCCUGAUGAUUCUAAUUUGAGGGGGGUAAAUGGGAUCUUUUUUUACAUAUGUGAUUUUGGGACAUCUGGGUGGCUUAGUCUGUUAAGUGGCCAACUCUUGAUUUUGGCUCAGGUCAUGAUCUCCCAGUUACUGGGAUCAAGCCCUGUGCUGUCAUUGCAGAGCCUUCUCGGGAUUCUCUCCUUCCUUCUCUCUCUGCCCCUCCUCUACUCACAAGUGCAGAUGCACAAGAAUGUUCUCUGUCUCUUUCUCUCUACCCCUACCCCACUCGCAUGUUCUCUCUCUCUCUCUCUCUCAAAAAUAAAUAACAUUAAACAAAAGAGUCCAUAUGUGAUUAUAAUGGAUGUCACUUGAAAGACACUUUGACAAACACUGAAAUGAAUGGAAGGAUGCACUUUGAAGCUUAUAUUUUCAUACAGGUAGUAUUCUUUAUACUUGAGUUCCCUAGUAACGUUUCUCCUUAUCUUGGCUUUUCUUCUUGUGUACAUCCAGCAUCAGUAGAAUCACUGAAUCCUGAAGACAAUGGCCUCGAAAGGAGAGAGCAUGAACAACUAGCACGAAGUGAAUACGGGCAUAUUCACAAAUGGAUUAAAAUGCGCGGAUAAAGAAACAAAAGUAAAAUGAAAGGAAAAUGGCAUCCAGGAGGACAAGGAAACUCAAAGAAUCUCCCAGUGUGACUCAGUUUGAAAUAGCUUCAAAAGUUUCAGCCAGCUUGAAUGCACAGGCCAGCUAAGGAAACCAGUGGGAAUCCAGGUUCUUCUGCAUGGGCUUGGUUUAUAGCCCAGGAGAGACAAGCAGAGCCAGAAGAAGGGGAAAUGAAGGAUAGAGUGAUGAGCAGGAGCUCAAGAGAGUGUUGAUGCCAGUGUCGGAUAAAAUCGAGGACACGAGCCAAUGCGCUAGUUCUAACAAGACUCAGUAAGUUUGCGCUUGUGUCGGGCUCUGCACCAAGCAGUGGUGAAGUAGAGCUAGGACCCUCAUCUUCACAGUCUAGCUAGUUAGAAAAAGACACACAAAGGACUCACAAUAAUGCAGUGUGAACAUUCUUACAAAAGGAGUAUUUAUGAAGCAAGUAAGGGUCCAGAAGAGGUGGUGAUUAAUUGAAUGAUUUUUCAUAUACAUUUUUGACUAGUAAUUCCAUUGAUGUGAAAUAAUAGCUUGAUGAACACAGUUGUAUACUUUCUGUAAUAGAUACUGAAGACAUGCCAUUAGUUCUUAUCACCAACAUGAUACUUUACACCAAGCUCUCUAAAAUUCUGCCUUGAACUAUCAGCAAUAGCCAAAUUAUGGAGAGUCCAAAUACCCAUCCACUGGAUGGAUAUAUA